rnacentral:rRNA from 1 species
UACGUAGGGGGCAAGCGUUGUCCGGAAUCAUUGGGCGUAAAGCGCGUGUAGGCGGCUUCGUAAGUCCGUUGUGAAAGUCCAGGGCUCAACCCUGGAAUGCCGAUGGAUACUGCGGAGCUAGAGUCCGGAAGAGGCGAGUGGAAUUCCUGGUGUAGCGGUGGAAUGCGCAGAUAUCAGGAGGAACACCUAUAGCGAAGGCAGCUUGCUGGGACGUUACUGACGCUAAGGCGCGAAAGCGUGGGGAGCGAACAG